GAUGAACGCUAGCGACAGGCUUAACACAUGCAAGUCGAGGGGCAGCACGGGUAGCAAUACCUGGUGGCGACCGGCGCAAGGGUGCGUAACGCGUGAGCAACAUGCCCUAUACAGGGGGAUAAUCCAGGGAAACUUGGUCUAAUAUCCCAUAGUAUUUAGAGGAGGCAUCUUCUAUAAAUUAAAGCUUCGGUGGUAUAGGAUCGGCUCGCGUGACAUUAGCUAGAUGGUGAGGUAACGGCUCACCAUGGCAAUGAUGUCUAGGGGUUCUGAGAGGAAGGCCCCCCACACUGGGACUGAGACACGGCCCAGACUCCUACGGGAGGCAGCAGUGAGGAAUAUUGGACAAUGGAUGGAAAUCUGAUCCAGCCAUGCCGCGUGCAGGAAGACAGCCCUAUGGGUUGUAAACUGCUUUUAAUGGGAGCAAUAAGGUCUACGUGUAGACUGAUGAGAGUACCAUAUGAAUAAGC
rnacentral:rRNA from 1 species